rnacentral:rRNA from 1 species
UGGGAGUCGGUAACACCCGAAGCCGAUAGUCUAACGAAAGAGGACGUCGUCGAAGGUGGGAUUGAUGACUGGGGUGAAGUCGUAACAAGGUACC